UACAGAGGGUGCGAGCGUUAAUCGGAUUUACUGGGCGUAAAGCGUGCGUAGGUGGCCAAUUAAGUCAAAUGUGAAAUCCCUGAGCUUAACUUAGGAAUUGCAUUCGAUACUGGUUGGCUAGAGUAUGGGAAGAGGAUGGUAGAAUUCCAGGUGUAGCGGUGAAAUGCGUAGAGAUCUGGAGGAAUACCAAUGGCGAAGGCAGCCAUCUGGCCUAAUACUGACGCUGAGGUACGAAAGCAUGGGGAGCAAACAGG
rnacentral:rRNA from 1 species